rnacentral:rRNA from 1 species
UACGUAGGGGGGCAAGCGUUGUCCGGAUUUAUUGGGCGUAAAGAGCGUGUAGGCGGCUUUGCAGGUCCGCUGUGAAAACUCGAGGCUCAACCUCGAGCUGUCGGUGGAAACCGUAAAGCUAGAGUCCGGAAGAGGAGAGUGGAAGUUCCCGGUCGUAGCGGUGAAAUGCGCAGAUAUCGGGAAGAACACCCGUGGCGAAGGCAGCUCGCUGGGACGGUACUGACGCUGAGACGCGAAAGCGUGGGGAGCAAACAGG